rnacentral:rRNA from 1 species
GAUGAACGCUGGCGGCGUGCCUAAUACAUGCAAGUCGAGCGAACAGAUGAGGAGCUUGCUCCUCUGACGUUAGCGGCGGACGGGUGAGUAACACGUGGAUAACCUACCUAUAAGACUGGGAUAACUUCGGGAAACCGGAGCUAAUACCGGAUAAUAUAUUGAACCGCAUUGUUCAAUAGUGAAAGACGGUUUUGCUGUCACUUAUAGAUGGAUCCGCGCCGCAUUAGCUAGUUGGUAAGGUAACGGCUUACCAAGGCAACGAUGCGUAGCCGACCUGAGAGGAGGGUUGACCAAACUAGUACUUGUACACGGUGCAGACUCCUAACGGAGGCAGCAAUAGGGAAUCAUACGGAAAUGGCCAAAGCCUGACAGAGCCACCCCGCGUUAGUUAUAGAGGUCUUCGGAACGUAAAAAACUCUUAUUAGGGAAGAACAAAUGUGUAAGUAACUAUGCACGUCUUGACGGUACCUAAUCAGAAAGCAACGGCUAACUACGUG